CACCCAGGUGCCCAAAUUAAAUUUAUUUAUAACCACGCCAUAUUUGCAGCUUAUUAUUAUUUUUUUUAAUGUAUUCAGCUCAUGUGAUGAUUGAGUCAGACCUGGAAAAGAUACAGUCGGGAAUAUUUCAUCUUCACAUAGCUAGAAGCUGGGAAAUAAGACUAGAUUUCCUGGAAUGCCUAGAACUUAUACUGAUAGAACAAUGCUUAACUCAGUUUUUCAACCAAACUCUCCAUCCGAAAUAAAGAGAGAUACCCCUAUGAAAAGAAACCAGAAGAUAAGAAAAUUCUAACUUCCUGCAGGGCUGCAUGAAAUAGUGACCUAAAUCUGUGUAGCUGGAAGGAGCUUAGAGAACUUAUUUCAUUGCCUUUAAAAGGACUAUCCUCAUAUAGGAAUCAUGAUCAUCCACAAGGUCAGGCGGAAGGCAGAGAUAUUCAGCGGUGCUGCAGUGGGUAGUUAGAACUCCUCAUAAUGAACAAACCACAUGGAUACAGGCCAGGUGUCUGCUAAAGGCAGCAUGGUUCGGCACAGCUGUUUCCAGGGAUUGCUCUGGAGGAAUUUCUACCUCUCAGCCUCUCAGCAGUUGCUGAAUGAAGUAUGUGAUGCUCGCCACAGCUGCCCAUCCCAUCCCUUCAGCUGCGGGCAGGACCAGAGGGGCACCGUCUUCACUAUCCGGUAC
rnacentral:lncRNA from 1 species